GACGAACGCUGGCGGCGCGCUUAACACAUGCAAGUCGAGCGAGAACCAGACCUUCGGGUCUGGGGACAGCGGCGAACGGGUGAGUAACACGUGGGUAAUCAACCCUCGGUACUGGGAUAGCCCGGGGAAACCCGGAUUAAUACCGGAUGGCCCUUCGGAUCUUCGGUUCUGAAGGAAAAGGUAGCUUCGGCCUCCGACCGAGGACGAGCCCGCGGCGGAUUAGCUUGUUGGUGGGGUAACGGCCUACCAAGGCGGCGAUCCGUAGCUGGUCUGAGAGGACGAUCAGCCAAACUGGGACUGAGACACGGCCCAGACUCCUACGGGAGGCAGCAGUGGGGAAUCUUGCGCUAAUGCGGGAAACCGUGACGCAGCGACGCCGCGUGAGGGAAGAAGGCCUUCGGGUUGUAAACCUCUUUCAGGAGGGACGAAGCUACUCGGGUUAAUAGCCCAGAGGGUGACGGUACCUCCAGAAGAAGCCCCGGCUAACUACGUGCCAGCCGCCGCGGUAACAC
rnacentral:rRNA from 1 species